UUCCUACGGGACGCAGCAGUGGGGAAUAUUGCACAAUGGGGGAAACCCUGAUGCAGCGACGCCGCGUGAGUGAAGAAGUAAUUCGUUACGUAAAGCUCUAUCAGCAGGGAAGAAAAUGACGGUACCUGAGUAAGAAGCCCCGGCUAACUACGUGCCAGCAGCCGCGGUAAUACGUAGGGGGCAAGCGUUAUCCGGAUUUACUGGGUGUAAAGGGGGCGCAGACGGCCAUGGCAAGCCCGGUGUGAAAGGCAGGGGCAUA
rnacentral:rRNA from 1 species